ensembl:lncRNA
AUCCCUAGGCUCCACACAAAGUCCCAUCUUGGUGACACUUUCCUAUCCAGGGGAGAAUGGGUCUCUGACUGUUGGUGCACAUCAAAUGUGCAGGCUGGCCAGUUCGCAGCAGUGCCAUGGUUGAGGAAGCUCUGUUAAAUUCACAUGGGUUUUGUUGCCAGCAGCUCCUCUGGUUCAGUUCUGGCCAAAGAGUCCCUGUUAAAUAUAACAGAGUCACAGGAGGCAAAGGGUUGCUUAGCCCUGCUGGAGGAGCCUGCAAUAAACUGCAUCAGAGGAGUGCUCAGAAGUAAAUCUGCUCACCCCUGCAUGAGGAUCUUGGCACAAAUUUAGGUAAAUUGAACUGUCUGGCUCCAUGGCCACCAUGGUCUUUGCUAGGGACAAGGAAAGCUAAGUGCCAGAGGCACACACAGGGCUUGUGUUUGGAUCACAGCCUGAAUGAGAGGUUGUUUGAUACAAUAAACUCCCCCUGGGAAAUGGACACAUGUGGAGGCUGAGGCUUUGUCCCAGACAGUUCCUUCUUCCCCAUGGAGUGUUUUUUUGGCUGAAUGAGGGCACUGAGAGGCUCCUGCAGUAGAUUCCUAUGCCCUGGCCCUUCUCUGUGCAUGCUCUGCUCAGCUUAAGGUCACUCAUGGACAGCACAGGGAGCAGCAUCCCAGCCACUGGCUCGGUCCCACAGCCCCUUCUCAUCUGCACCAACUCUCAGGAGAUGCAAGUACCAGCAGGACUACCCCAAAAGUGAAUUAUUUUUUAAUUGCUGGGGCUGGGCAGCAGCCACAGCUUGAAUGGGGAAACUGAAAUGGUGGCCAGGCUUUUCCAAAGCUUUUGUGAUAGGUCACAAUUGAGCAGCAAAGUGGCUGGAUGCCCUUUCCAGUUCCAGCCUGACAUGGGAGGCCUUACCAAUGGUGCAGCACCAUCACACAACACCUACAGAGCCUUGUGCCAUCCCCACAAACAGGAGUGUAAUAAUCCCUUCUCUCCUACAGACUCCGAUUUGGCUGAUUACUUUGACACGCCUGUGGAGACUACCACCAAACCAACCAAGCCAACUCCCAAGCCCUUCCCCAGGCCAGGGAAGCCAGACAAUGGCUUCUGGGAUGUCAUUCACACCACCACAACCAAGCAGCCAAAAACUACAAGAGCCCCUCAUAAGCGUAACCCAGGUGAGCAUCAUCUCCACAGCCCCUGCCACUUCACUCCAGCUCUACUGCUGGCACUGGGGGGGAUUUGAGAUGAUGGUGACACUGCCCUCACCCUGAUAUUUCCAACCUCUGUUUGCUCACCUGAAACACCUCGAGGAAAAAAACAAAUAUCAAAAACCACAGAGAAGUCAGGGCAUCUGAACAUUACCCUGCAUUUCCCAGGGGACCUCAGUGAUUUCUGGACUAUGUUUCAUUUCCAUGCUUGCUGGAAGGCUGGUUGUGAGCUGGUAAUGCUCUCCAUCAUGGUACAGCCAUGUUGGCUCCACUGGCAGACAUCCACAGGCUCAGGGCACCCUGUCACCUGGUCAUUUUGCUGCCUGCCAAGGCAGGGUUUUGAUUUGGAUCAGAAUAAACUCAGGAGUGCACUGGUGGGAGGGCUGAGG